rnacentral:lncRNA from 1 species
AGCUUAUUCUGAUACUCCUGAAGUUGCUGUUGUAGUUGCUUGACUUCCAUAAUUCCUUGGUCACAUUUUCUAUCUAAAGCCUCCAGCUCAGUCCUCCGAAUCUGCUUUUUGCUUCGAAUAUCUUGCAAUCUGCCUGAGAUUUGCUGAUGUUUGUCCGUCAGAGCUUCUAAUUCAAGAUUAAGGCUCUUCUUCUUAGAGGUCAACUUGAUAAUUUCUUCUUGUUCUCUGUUACGCUGAUUAAGAAGUUCUUGGCGACGAAUUCUCUCCCACUCCAAGCGCCGCUGGCGCUCAAGUUCUUGUUUUGCUGCCUCCCGCCUUUCUAUUUCUUUCCUCCUUUCUUCUUCCCUUUGUCUUUCCAGCUCUCGUUGUCUCUCCAGCUGCCUUUCCAAUUCAAGUUGUUUUUUCCGUUCCUGCUCCUGACGUUCCCUCUCUCUUCGUUCUUGUUCUUCUCUUUCUUUCUGAGCCUUACGUUCUGCCUCUCUCUGUUGCUGUUCCAACAGGACCUGACGACGUUUUUCCAGCUCCACAUUUCCUCUCUCAUAGUUUGCUUUUCUUUUGUCCUCAAACGUCACAGGCUGUUUUUUCUGUGGCUCCUCCUCUUGCACAGGCUGGUA